rnacentral:rRNA from 1 species
AACGAACGCUGGCGGCAGGCUUAACACAUGCAAGUCGAGCGCCCCGCUAGGGGAGCGGCAGACGGGUGAGUAACGCGUGGGAAUCUACCCAUCUCUACGGAAUAACGCAUGGAAACGUGUGCUAAUACCGUAUACGUCCUUCGGGAGAAAGAUUUAUCGGAGAUGGAUGAGCCCGCGUUGGAUUAGCUAGUUGGUGGGGUAAAGGCCUACCAAGGCGACGAUCCAUAGCUGGUCUGAGAGGAUGAUCAGCCACACGGGGACUGAGACACGGCCCAGACUCCUACGGGAGGCAGCAGUGGGGAAUAUUGGACAAUGGGCGAAAGCCUGAUCCAGCCAUGCCGCGUGAGUGAUGAAGGCCCUAGGGUUGUAAAGCUCUUUCACCGGUGAAGAUAAUGACGGUAACCGGAGAAGAAGCCCCGGCUAACUUCGUGCCAGCCGCCGCGGUAAUAC